rnacentral:rRNA from 1 species
UCGGUUAGCGGCGGACGGGUGAGUAACACGUAGGCAACCUUGCCUGUAAGAUGCGGGAUAACUACCGGAAACGGUAGCUAAGACCGGAUAGCUGGUUUUUCCGCAUGGGGGAAUCAUGAAACAUCGGGGCAACCURUNGGCUUACGGAUGGGCCUGCGGCGCAUUAGCUAGUUGGUGGGGUAACGGCCCACCAAGGCGACGAUGCGUAGCCGACCUGAGAGGGUGAUCGGCCACACUGGGACUGAGACACGGCCCAGACUUCCUACGGGAGGCAGCAGUAGGGAAUCUNUCCGCAAUGGGCGCAAGCCUGACGGAGCAACGCCGCGUGAGUGAUGAAGGUUUUCGGAUCGUAAAGCUCUGUUGCCAAGGAAGAACGCCUCGGAGAGUAACUUGCUCUGAGGGUGACGGUACUUGAGAAGAAAGCCCCGGCUAACUACGUGCCAGCAGCCGCGGUAAUACGUAGGGGGCAAGCGUUGUCCCGGAAUUAUUGGGGCGUAAAGCGCGCGCAGGCGGU